rnacentral:rRNA from 1 species
UACAGAGGGUGCAAGCGUUAAUCGGAAUUACUGGGCGUAAAGCGUGCGUAGUCGGUUAUCUAAGUCGGAUGUGAAAUCCCCGGGCUCAACCUGGGAAUUGCAUUCGAAACUGAAUAGCUAGAGUUCGGCAGAGGGAAGUGGAAUUUCCGGUGUAGCGGUGAAAUGCGUAGAUAUUGGAAGGAACAUCAGUGGCGAAAGCGACUUCCUGGACCAGAACUGACGAUCAGGCACGAAAGCGUGGGGAGCAAACAGG